UUCUGGUUUGCGUUAGGGAUAGAAGCGGAAAUCCUUUUUUUGAGCUUUUUCUGCUCAAAAAAAGAUUGGGAGCGGAUAGCCCGACCGAAG
rnacentral:sRNA from 1 species